rnacentral:rRNA from 1 species
GUGGGGAAUUUUGCACAAUGGGGGAAACCCUGAUGCAGCGACGCCGCGUGGAGGAUGAAGGCCUUCGGGUUGUAAACUCCUUUUGUAGGGGACGAUGAUGACGGUACCCUAUGAAUAAGCCACGGCUAACUCUGUGCCAGCAGCCGCGGUAAGACAGAGGUGGCGAGCGUUGUUCGGAAUCACUGGGCUUAAAGGGCGCGUAGGUGGCAGUGCAAGUCUGGGGUGGAAUCCCAGGGCUUAACCCUGGAACUGCCUUGGAAACUGCAUUGCUUGAGUCAGUGAGGGGAGGGUAGAAUUCCUGGUGUAGCGGUGAAAUGCGUAGAUAUCAGGAGGAAGGCCUGUGGCGAAGGCGGCCCUCUGGCGCUGGACUGACACUGAGGCGCGAAAGCGUGGGUAGCAAACAGGAUUAGAUACCCGUGUAGUCC